rnacentral:rRNA from 1 species
UGAGGAAUUUUCUGCAAUGGGCGAUAGCCUGACAGAGCAAUACCGCGUGAGGGAUGAAGGCCUACGGGUUGUAAACCUCUUUUCUCAAGGAGGAAGACCUGACGUUACUUGAGGAAUAAGCAUCGGCUAACCCUGUGCCAGCAGCCGUGGUAAUACAGGGGAUGCAAGUGUUAUUCGGAAUUAUUGGGUGUAAAGCGUCUGCAGGUUGAUAUUUAAGUCUUUUGUUAAAUCUUCGGGCUCAACCCGGAAUCUGCAAAGGAAACUAUUUAUCUUGAGUAUGGUAGAGGUAACGGGAAUUUCCAGUGGAGCGGUGAAAUGCGUAGAUAUUGGAAAGAACACCAACAGCGAAGGCACGUUACUGGGCCAUUACUGACACUCAGAGACGAAAGCUAGGGGAACAAACA